CAUUACUGCACGCUCUGCCUCGGCCUCUCUCUCUGCAGUUCCUUCCACUCACCUGGCUGGAGGUGGACUCCCUUUGGAGGAUCAGGCAGCCGGAGGAAUCCAUGCCUCUCAUAUGCUGAGUGGAAAAGAUUCCGGUCAAAGGAGGGACGAAGCUUUGCAAGUUGGAAGUGAUUCACCUAACCACCAGAAAUCCUGAAGUGGGACCCAGGUCUGAAGGCAAACUAAUUGAACACAACUCUUCACAGCAAAAGAUAAGAAGAUGCAGGCAGGUUUUCUGGUGAAAAGUUUAGCAAGCAGAACAUUUUUGUGUAUAAGUUCUCAGUUGCAGUCAUCACAUCCCUGACAACCAUCUGCGCCGACCUGCAUAUCC